GAUGAACGCUGGCGGCGUGCUUAACACAUGCAAGUCGAACGGAAAGGCCCAAGCUUGCCUGGGUACUCGAGUGGCGAACGGGUGAGUAACACGUGGGUGAUCUGCCCUGCACUUCGGGAUAAGCCUGGGAAACUGGGUCUAAUACCGGAUAGGACGAUGGUUUGGAUGCCAUUGUGGAAAGUUUUUUCGGUGUGGGAUGAGCUCGCGGCCUAUCAGCUUGUUGGUGGGGUAAUGGCCUACCAAGGCGUCGACGGGUAGCCGGCCGGAGAGGGUGUACGGCCACAUUGGGACUGAGAGACGGCCCAGACUCCGAAGGGAGGCAGCAGGGGGGAAUAUUGCACAAUGGGAGCAAGCCUGAUGCAGCGACGCCGCGGGGGGGAUGACGGCCUUCGGGUUGUAAACUCCUUUCGCUAGGGACGAAGCGUUUUUGUGACGGUACCUGGAGAAGAAGCACCGGCUAACUACGUG
rnacentral:rRNA from 1 species